CGUGCAAAGGUAGCAUAAUAAUUUGCCUCCUAAUUAGAGGCUGGCAUGAAUGGAUUUACGAAAGUAUAGCUGUCUCCUACUAAAAUAUAAAAACUAAACUUCAAGUGAAGAUGCCUGAAUUUUACUAAAGGACAAAAAGACCCUGUUGAGCUUCACCUACAAUAAAUAUCACAAUUUACUAAGGUUUAGUUGGGGCGACUAAGGAAGAAAUAAAGCUUCCUCAAUAAAUAGACUAAUAUGUCCUAUAAAUGAUCCGCUAAAGCAAUCUAAAGAAAAGCU
rnacentral:rRNA from 1 species